AGAUUAUCCGAGAAGUUAAUGGUGUAGAAAUUAGAAACGAAGUAACUUAUAUUCUCUAGGUCUCGCGCAUCGCCUAGUGCCCUAGUCCAUCGAGUAGCAACGAAGCUUGACAGCAACGGAGAAGACCAUGAACAGCAGUAGCAGUGAAGUGCAGGUGUGCGUCACCGGUGGCGCCGGGUUCAUCGGCUCCUACCUCGUCAAGAAGCUCCUCGAGAAGGGCUACACCGUCCACGCCACGCUGCGGAACACCGAGGACGAGGAGAAGACCGGGCUGCUGCGGCGGCUGGUCCCCGGCGCGGCGGAGCGUCUGCGGUUGUUCCGUUGUUCGAGGCCGACCUCUUCGACGCCGCCACCUUCGCGCCGGCGAUCGCUGGGUGCCAGUUCGUCUUCCUCGUCGCCACGCCAUACGGGCUCGAAGCCGCCGGAUCCAAGUACAAGAGCACGGCGGAAGCUGCAGUGGCCGCGGUGCGCGUGAUCCUCCGGCAGUGCGAGGAGUCCAAGACGGUGAAGCGCGUCAUCCACACCGCCUCCAUAUCGACCGCUUCGCCGCUCAAGGACAAGGAGGCGGAGGGUUCCGGCGAUGGGUACAAAGAUUUCAUCAGCGAAUCGUGUUGGACGCCGCUCAACGUUGACUACCACCUUCGCAGCGCACACUUCGACAAGUACAUACUGGCAAAGCUGCGGUCGGAGCAGGAGCUCCUGAGCUACAACGGCGGCGAGAGCCCGGCGUUCGAGGUGGUGACGCUGCCCCUGGGCCUCGUCGCGGGAGACACGGUCCUCGGCCACGCGCCGGAGACGCUGGAGCACGCCGUGUCGCCGGUGUCACGGGAAGAGCUCUCCUUCAAGUUCCUCCGGCUGCUGCAGAGCUUGCUCGGCUCCGAGCCGCUGGUGCACGUCGACGACGCCUGCGAGGCGCUCCUCUUCUGCAUGGAGCGCCCGUCCAUCGCCGGCCGCUUCUUCUGCGCCGCCGCGUACCCGAGCAUCCACGACAUCACGGACCACUACGCCAGCAAGUUCCCUCACCUCGACGUCCUCAGAGCGACGGAGGCGGUGGCUGUGGCGGUGCAACCUGAGGUGGACAGGUUGGGAGAGCUGGGGUUCAGGUACAAGUACGGGAUGGAGGAGAUACUUGAUAGCAGCGUUGCCUGCGCAGCGAGACUGGGCUCCCUUGACGCAGCCAAGCUCAACGUUCCAGAUACUGUCAGUAGCAAAUAAACUUGAAUUGUGUACUGAACCUGACUCUACUUUCAUGGAUGUUAUUAGCUCAAUCUACAUAUAUAAGGAUAUGGUGGGGGGUGUGUGAACACGGUGUCCUUGCCGUAAGAGAAAAAUCUAUCUACACGGCAUUUGUUGCAUUUGCGAGAGAGAGAGAGAGAAAUGUAUC